GCAUAUCAAUAAGCGGAGGAAAAGAAAAUAACAAUGAUUUCCCCAGUAACGGCGAGUGAAGAGGAAAGAGCUCAAAGUUGGAACCUGCUUGGCUUAGCCAAGCCGGAUUGUAAACUGUAGAAGUGUUUUCCUGACACGCCAGGCAAAAAAGUCCUUUGGAACAGGGCAUCAUAGAGGGUGAGAAUCCCGUCUUUGGCCUGAGCAGUUGUCUUUUGCGAUACACUUUCAAAGAGUCAGGUUGUUUGGGAAUGCAGCCUAAAUUGGGUGGUAAAUCUCACCUAAAGCUAAAUAUUGGCGAGAGACCGAUAGCGAACAAGUACCGUGAGGGAAAGAUGAAAAGAACUUUGAAAAGAGAGUUAAACAGUAUGUGAAAUUGUUAAAAGGGAACCGUUUGGAGCCAGACUGGCUUGGCUGUAAUCAAUCUGGGCUUUUGCCCGGAUGCACUUGCGGCCUAUGCCUGCCAACGACAGUUUUAUUUGGGGGAAAAAACCAGGAGGAAUGUGGCCCCUUUGCGGGGGUGUUAUAGCCUCUUGGAAAAUACCCUGGAUUGGACUGAGGAUCGCAGCGAAUGCCUUUAGGCGAGAUUGCGGCGUGCUUUUGCUGAUAAAUGCUAGAAUUUCUGCUUCGGGUGGUGCUAGUGUUUAAAGGUGGAACUCGCGCUGUAUAUUUUUUAUUCGCUUAGGUUGUUGGCUUAAUGACUCUAAAUGACCCGUCUUGAAACACGGACC
rnacentral:rRNA from 1 species